GGGGAAUAUUGCGCAAUGGGGGGAACCCUGACGCAGCGACGCCGCGUGAGUGAAGAAGGCCUUCGGGUCGUAAAGCUCUGUUCUCGGGGACGAAGAAGAUGACGGUACCCGAGGAGAAAGCCCCGGCUAACUACGUGCCAGCAGCCGCGGUAAUACGUAGGGGGCUAGCGUUGUCCGGAAUUACUGGGCGUAAAGGGCGUGUAGGCGGCCAUGCAAGUCAGGUGUGAAAGGCCACAGCUCAACUGUGGCAUUGCACUUGAAACUGUAUGGCUUGAGUGCAGGAGAGGGAAGUGGAAUUCCUAGUGUAGCGGUGAAAUGCGUAGAUAUUAGGAGGAACACCAGUGGCGAAGGCGACUUCCUGGACUGUAACUGACGCUGAGGCGCGAAAGCGUGGGUAGCAAAC
rnacentral:rRNA from 1 species